UAUUGAAAGGUAUAAAAACCUACCAUAAGCACAAUUUCAGUCUUUCGAACGUUUCUAGAGUAGAGGAUAUGUGGCUGGUUGAAUUUGUUUGGGGGGUAACUAUCCGCAUCAACUCAUAGCAAAAUGCUUCAAAAACACUCUACGAACUCCAGUGUCGACCAGCCACCAUGAGUGUAAAUUGGCCGUUUGAACGGACUCCCAUCUUAACUAACGUGGAUGGACGUCAGAAGUUCUAUGGGCUGUGUCCACUCAAGAGUGUUGUGGCCUCAGAGGGUGAAUGGACAGUUGCUUGGUCUGCCAACCUGGGUGUGAUCCUAUGAAAAUGUUCCAAGGAAGUUACUCCCAUGAGAGCAGUGCCGGAGGGUCAAGAGAACUGUUGAUUGGUCUGCCAACCUGGAUGUGAACCCCUGGAAUUAGAUCAGGUAAUGGGGUCAAAGAUGUGCCAAGGACAGGACUGAAGAAUUGAAAUUCACCAAAUGAAUGAUCAGUGACUGACAAAGAAACAAGUUCAAUACAAACAUAUGAAAAUGUAAAGUUUAAUGGCGUACUUAAAACCAAGAAAAGUCACAGGGCUCUAAGCCCCACAGUUAAUCAGUGUGAAAGGCUGAAUUGUAAGGUGCUUUCUUGAGUGUGUCCAGGAAGAACUGCUCGUCCUGCAGGAAGUCACGAUCCUAAGAAGAUAAAACCAGUAAAUUAUAUACAAUAAAGAUUUUGAAAC